rnacentral:rRNA from 1 species
UAACACGGGGGUGGCAAGCGUUGUCCGGAAUUACUAGGCGUAAAGGGCAAGUAGGCGGAAUGGUAAGUCAGAUGUUAAAGGCACCGGCUCAACCGGUGUACGGCAUUUGAUACUGUCAUUCUAGAGUAAGGUGGGGGAAGACGGAAUUCCUGGUGUAGCGGUGGAAUGCGGAGAUAUCAGGAGGAACACCAGCGGCGAAGGCGGUCUUCUAUACCAUUACUGACGCUAAAUUGCGAAGGUGUGGGUAUCAAACAGGAUUAGAUACCCUGGUAGUCCACACAGUAAACGAUAUGCACUAGAUGUUGGGAGAGUUAAUCUUUCAGUGUCGUAGUUAACGCGUUAAGUGCAUCGCCUGGGGAGUACGAUCGCAAGGUUA